GGCAGCAAGCAGAAGGGAUCUUAGCUUCCAAGAGCCCUUCUGACCUUGGAAGCUAAGCAGAUCAGCUGUGUUGAGUACUUGAAUGGGAGACUACCAGCGAAUACUAAGUGUUGUAGGCA
rnacentral:rRNA from 1 species